UACAGAGGGUGCAAGCGUUAAUCGGAUUUACUGGGCGUAAAGCGUGCGUAGGCGGUUUGUUAAGUCGGUUGUGAAAGCCCUGGGCUCAACCUGGGAAUUGCAGUCGAUACUGACAGGCUAGAGUACGGUAGAGGGAGGCGGAACUCCAGGUGUAGCAGUGAAAUGCGUAGAUAUCUGGAAGAACACCGAUGGCGAAGGCAACCUCCUGGGCCUGUUCUGACGCUGAGGCACGAAAGCGUGGGGAGCAAACAGG
rnacentral:rRNA from 1 species